AGCGAACGCUGGCGGCAGGCUUAACACAUGCAAGUCGAACGCCCCGCAAGGGGAGUGGCAGACGGGUGAGUAACACGUGGGAACGUACCCUUUGGUUCGGAAUAACUUGGGGAAACUCAAGCUAAUACCGGAUAAGCCCUUAUGGGGAAGGGUUUACUGCCGAAGGAUCGGCCCGCGUCUGAUUAGCUAGUUGGUGAGGUAAUGGCUCACCAAGGCGACGAUCAGUAGCUGGCCUGAGAGGAUGAUCAGCCACACUGGGACUGAGACACGGCCCAGACUCCUACGGGAGGCAGCAGUGGGGAAUAUUGGCCAAUGGGGGCAACCCUGAUCCAGCCAUGCCGCGUGAGUGAUGAAGGCCUUAGGGUUGUAAAGCUCUUUUACCCGGGACGAUAAUGACUGUACCGGGAGAAUAAGCCCCGGCUAACUUCGUGCCAGCCGCCGCUGUAA
rnacentral:rRNA from 1 species